AUGGAAGGAAGUAAAAGUUUUAGGGGGAAAGUGGGAGGGAGUAAAAAUUAUGGGGGAAAAUAAAAAAUUUUGAGAAAAAAUAAAUGGGAGAGUAAAAUUUUGGUGGGAAAUGGAUUUUGGGUAGAUUGGGGGGUUGGGAUAGAAGGGGAGUAAAAGUUUUGGGGGGAAAGUAGGAAAGAGUAAAAAUUUUGAGGGAAAAGUAAAAAGGUUUGGGAGUUUGGGGUAAAAAUGUAAAAUAUUAUAGUUUAAUAUUCGAAUUAUUCGAAUUAUUCGAGUUAUUCGAAUUCGAAAACUCAACUCGAUUCGAACUCGAAAUUCGAAAAAAAUUCGAGUUGACUCGAAUAACUCGAUUAACUCGAAUAACUCGAUUCGUUUAACUCGAAAUUCAAAUUUUUUUUCGAUUUUUUCGAGUCGAAUCGAGUUUUGCUCACCCCUACCUAACUAUAUGACUUCCUAGGAUCGUCAAGCCUAGGGUUUAAGUUCUUCCUUCCCUAACCACUAAUCUGCUAAGUGAUGCUUGGUAGGCAAUACCAAUUUUGGGUUAAUUCCUACCUAAAUGACUUCCUAGGGUCGUCAAUCCUAUUGUUUAAUUGCACUCAACCAGAUCCAACCAAUCCAAAUUGAACUUUACCUUUCAAUCAAUUAAUUAGGUUAAAAUAGUUGAAUCACUUGAAAUAUGUAUAAAGCAUAAAUUGAUUCUAAUAUUUACACAAACAUUCAAUUAACAAUGUUAAAGAAAUAAAUAUAAAGAAUAGAAUAAAGGAAAGAGAUGCUCAUGGAUUUAUCGAUGAAAGCGUGGCUCCGAAACAAUCUCUGCUCACGAAAGUCUCACUUCAGAAUAGGAUCUUCCAAUUAUAAGAACAUAACAUAAACUAAGCAAAAACUAAGAACGAAAUAUGCAAAAACUAAGAACGAAAUAAAAAACUAAGAAUGAUUUUUGUCUCCCUCCAAUGGUGUGUUUAAUCUGGUUACAAUGGUCUUUAUAUAGGUUAAAGCCGAAAUAUUAAAGUGCUUAAACUAUCCUUGAAGUACUUAGAGUUUGACUAGGAAAAAUACUCCUAAUUGCCUUAAAAAACACAGUUGUCACGUGUAGGGAUUUUUGGGCUGCGCAAAAGUUGUGUUGCAACAUAGGCCUGUAGUGUUGCAACAUAAGUCGGUGUCGCGACAUAGCAUGCAGUUUCGCUCCAAGACUUUUGCUUCUAUGUCAUGGCAUAGGCAGCAGUUUCAGCCCGAAUAUGCAUCUUUAGCUCCUGAUUUGUCCUACAAGACCAUGUAACCUUACUUAAAUAUCUAAGAUAUAAUAAAAAUGACUAAAAAACAUAAAUCACCACUUCAAGCAUAAAAACAUAAUUAUAUACUACGAUGGUUUGAUUUACUAUUAAACAAGCUACAAUUAUGUGUAAAAGAGGAUGUAAAUAAUAAUGUAAUCAAUGACAUAUCACUCCUUCACACUUAACUUUUUGCUUGUCCUCAAGCAACCAAAACACAUAUAUGGGAAAAAAUAGAAAAGAAAAAAAAUUAAUAUGAAAAUGACUUGAUUUUUUUCUUUAAACAAGGUAGAGUUAGUGAAGAUGGAUGUAAAUAAGAACCUAAAUCAUGGCAGAUCACAUUCCCACACUUGAACUCCACCACACUUAACUUUUUUCUUAUCCUCAAACAAACCAAGUCUAGACAAAUAGCAUGCAAAAAGAAGACGUCCCUUAAAUUUUAUUACUACUAAGAACAUGAUUGUCAAAUACUAAAGGUAUAACAAAUUUUAUUGCACAUGCAACUUAAUCUUGAUAGUUCGAUGCCUUGAAAUUUUUUAAAAGUAAAUUAGGAUUAGUUUACAAAGUUACAUUUCUAACAACUUAGAAGUAAUUCUCAUGGCCAAAAUUUUAACAAUAUCACCAUUAACAUAAAUCAAAUAGAUAUGUAGUAGACACAAUCAUGUGAAUAAAAAAAUUCAUUAAGUAUAAUUGUUAGCAAUUCUAAAAGAUAAUGCAAAGAGAAUGCUUAAGUCACAUUGAUCUUCUAGGUUUGUAAAGUUUUUAAACUUAGGACGGUACAAGUUCAAAGGAAGAUAUGGCUCAAAACGAUUAAAACAUUAGAAAUAAUUAGGCACAUAACAUUGUUCUAGAUAUUGUAUAAAAAAAACAGAUAUAUUUAUUUAAAUGGUUUAAAAUUGAAUAAAUUUUUAUUUUUAUUUUUAAGAAAUAUAUAUCUAUCAUGAUUUCUUAUUUAAAAUUUGUCUGCACAACUUUUUUUUAUUACUAUAAUUAGAGAUAAAAUUAUUAGGGAUUAAACUCAAAAUUUCAUAUGACAACACAAAUACUCUUGCCAUUCGGCUAAGAGAUUGUUGGCAAACUUAAUUUACUACUACAUAUAAUUUCAAUAAUAUGAAUUAACUAGUAUUCAACAUUCCUUAUUUGUAUGUCGAUUGAGUUUUAGCACAAUUGGCAUCUACAUUGUUACUAGUGCAGGAGGACGUGGGUUUGAGUGCGCAUCCUCCUAUUUAAGAGUUAGGGAUUGGCUAUGGGUAGUUCUAGAUAUUAUACAAAAAAAAAACAUAAUAAGAAUCUAUAAUGAGAUUAAUAUUAAAAUAAAACCAUUUUAGGCCAAUCAUUUAAUUAUCAUAAUUAAGGAAAAAAUCCUAUGUGUUUUCAUAAAAUUUUUAUGAGUGACAAUUUUUAUUAUUUGACAAUAUCAGAAAAUUAAUGUUAUAUAUGAGUCAUGGAGCUUUUUCCCAACCUAAGAAUCUUAUUUACAAAAAUAGGAUAUUGUUAAACUUUACUCCUAAAAAUAGAUAAACUAAUAUAAUAGGAUUCCGCGUCACCUUAAUAAUUUCACAACCCUCUUCUUCUUUAAUUUCUCUCCAACAAAUAAAAGUCAUUAAUAGUGGUAAAACCAAUUUAGAAAAGCCUAUUAACACCAAAUCUGCAACAAAUAUUGAUUAUUUGUAGUCAUUAUCUUCUUGCAUAAAAAAAUAAAAUAUCAUUUUCCAGUAAUUUUUAGAGGUAGAGGCAGACAUUGUCCACUUCCCAUUUUUUUGACUUUGUGGUUUGGCCUUCUUAACAUCAUUGACUUCCUCUUCAAUCUUCAUGUUCGACCUUAACCUUUAUAUUAAUUAAUUACCUUUGAUUUUGUUUUUCUUAAUUAAUAAUGCAUUUGUGAUAAUGAAUAUCAACAUCACGAAUAAAAGAAAAUUCAAUGGAACUAACAAGUGAUUAGAAGAAGUGGAUUUCAUCUUCAAGUAUUUGAAACAGAUUUGAAUUUUAGAGAAACAUUAUUAGAAGGAUUUUACCUGAAUAUCACCUGUAACAUCUCGAUUUAGGGUCUAAUUGGAACAGUGGUUUUGAGACCACAAAUCCAACAUAAGAAAAUUUAUUUUUAUUAUAUUUUUAUGGUCUACAAUUUCACGAGAUGAUUAUUUAGUUAGGGGCAUUUUGAUUAUUUAGUAAUUAAAAUAAAUUAAAAACAAAAUUAAAAGUCAAAUUUUGUCCAUCUUCAAGCUAUGGCCAAAACUUGCAUGGAAAAACCAUGGUUAGGGUUUUCCAAGCUUCCAAGCUCGAUUGUAAGUCCGUUCUUGCCCCGUUUUUAAUGAUUUUUAUGUUUUUCAAAUCCUCGUAACAAGAUCUAGCUAUUUCUACCAUUUAUUUGAGCUAGGGUUGAUGUUUAAAAAUUUACCCAUGUGCUACAUGUGUGUAUUUUGAUGUUUAAGGGAGGAAUAUGAAUGUUUUUUAUGUGUUAAACGACUUUUACUAAGUAGUUUUCGGUGAAAACGCUAAAAAGGAUUAAUUUGUAAAAGUUAUAAAAUUUUUCAUAAAAGUGUGAUUUAGGGGAAAUUAUGGGCUGCUAUAGUUACGAAAAUGUUUUGGCUAGGCUUAAAGUAGAAUGAAAUCGAAUAAAUUUCAUUUUACGAGCCUAGGGAAAAAAUGUAAAUAUGAUAAAGUUUAGGGGCAAAAAUGUAAUUUUUCAUAAUAUGAUUUCUGGGUCACAAUGAAUAAUGCGACUAAUUAGUAAGCUAAAUGUGAUAUUAUAGAUCAAGGAAAACGAGAUUCGAAGUUAGAUUGGGGAAAAAUAAGUUUUUGAUGGUUGAAGUCCUUUUUUCACCAUUUUUGGUAUCGAGGUAAGUUCGUGCGAUAAUAAUAAUGCAAUGUUAUACUUGAAUGUUAAUGCUUGAUAUUACAUGAAUUGUAAGUUCAUGUGUAAAUAAUGUGAUGUGUUACAUAUUUUAAUGCUUUAAUGUUAUAUGAAUUCAAAUGCUUAUUUACUAUCAUGAAUUAUAUGCCUUGAUAUUCCAUAAGUACAUGGUUGGUAUUAUGGAUAUCGUAAAUGAAAAUACGAGCAAGUUCGACAGUGAUGUGACAAGUAAAGAAACCCCGUUUGAACCUUUGGAUUAGUCUAGGAUACAAGUGACAUGUCACUAGGAAUUAAGUAAUCCGAACUCAUUGAGCGGUCUAGGUUCGUGAUAUAUAUGUGACAUCUGAGCUUAUUGAGUGGUCUGAGUUCAUGAUGUACGAGAUAUAUGUAAUUUGGUUUCCAGUAUUGGUCUUGUGUGUCCUACCGGUGGCUAGGUAGUCCUGAGUGGUUCGGAUACCUGACAGCUUGUGUGAGCAGCCCCCGUAGUUGCACCCUGACUGGUAGUUUAUGCUAGUGGGCCUGUGAGUAGCUCCAUUUCGAGUGUUACAUGCUAUGGGGUAGCUUUGGCUAUGUAUGUAUAUGUUUCACUUAUGUGCAAGUUUUCCGCGUAUCCAAUAGUAUUUCAAGUGUUCAAUGGGUAGUUUAAAGAAUGAUUUGAUGAUAGUCCCAAAAGGGAAUGUCAAAGACAAGAAUGAAUAUGUGAAAAAUGUUGAAAUGAUACAGGUAUGUACUCUAAGCUUAUGGUUAUUGAGAUUUUGAAAUGUCAAGACCUCAGUGAGCUAAGAUGUAUGAAUUAUGAUUAUAAAUUUUGUUGCAAUAUCAUGCUAACUUACAUUGUGUAAUUUAACAUGGAAUCCAUGAAAUUGUGAGUUCAUGAUUAGUUGAAAAUGAACUUAUGAUAGUUAUCAUUAUAUUGCACUAAAACAGUUUUGGACAACAGCAGUAGUUUGACUUUGAAAAUCCACCAAAAAUUAUGAAAAUCGAAUUAGAGAUUGAAUAAAAUAUUAAAUAAAGCUUGUUUAUUCUAGUCUUACAUAGAAGAAACUUUGUAAGCAAAAUAAUUCCAUAUUAUGAGAUAUUUGAAUUUUCGUAAGACAAGGUCAGAAUGAUUUUGGAAUCCCCUGUUCUGAUUUGGGAAAAUUGUUAAAAAUUGUAAAAAAAAAUAAUUAUUUCUUAUAAUUUAUAUUCUUAAAAUCCUUAAUGAGUCUAUCUUUAAAGGAAAAAAAUAGGAACAUCAUCUGAACUCCGCAUGAGGAGAUAAUUAAUUUUUAGAGAAGAGGGGUCAGAACUGUCAAACAGCGAAACAGGGGUAACUUUAAAGAAUAAACUCUACUUAUUGGCUAAUCCAUAAAUUCUGAAAAUUUCAUGGCAGAAAGAUAUAUGAGUCUAGUUUGAAAUUAUUUUAACGGAUCUUAAUUUAGAUUUUUUUAGCUCAAGUUAUAAAUAAUUGAAUGACCAUGGCUCGAGUGGACAGCUUGUCAUGAAUAUAAAAAAAAAAAGUGCAAAUAUGAUUGUAUUACCUUGAGAUCAUGUUGUGAGAAUUGGUAGAAGCAUGUUAAUAAAAUGAUUAUUAUUUUCAUACAGACUUACUAAGCUUUAAAUCUUACUCCCCUUCUUUUCCCAUCUCUUAUAGGUUAAUUUAGCUAGCUCGGGUUGGAGAUCGCCGGAGAUGCUAUCACACUAUCAAGCUAUCAUGUUGGGUAUAAGUGAAUGCAAACUCCUUUAAGUUUAUGGCAUGUAUAGGGACUUGGUUUUUUGAUGUAUGAGUCAUUAUGAAUUGGGUAAAUGUAUUGGCUUAGGAAGGCAAAAGGUUGGAUGUAAAUUGUAGCCAUGCAAAUUGGCUAUAUUGGCUAAUUGGUUGAAAGCCCAUAUAAUUAUUAUGCGUAUGCUUAUGGCAAUGUUUUGUGAUGUGAUUUAUAUUUGCUUUAUACAUAUAAUGGAUAUGAAUUUAUUCAUAUGGUAAUGCCUUUUUUGAGUGUGAAUUCAGCAUGAAGUGAUUUGGUAAGGCAUGAUGCUAUAAUGCAUGAUAGAUGAUGGUGUGAAAAUGAUAUGUUAUUCCCUGAUGGUAGUUUAUUUAUGCCAUGAAAUGUACUAUUGUAGUUGUUUUCAAGUAUGUGCAAAUAAGGGUGACAAAUGGCUUGGUAAAUAGCCAUUUUCUCGGCCAAACGGGCAGAGACAUGACCGUGUCUCUCAGCCGUGUGGAGGACACGGUCUAGCACAUGGGCGUUUGACUUGGUCGUGUGACUCUUAUUUGUUGAUGAUGUCAUAAACAGAGAGUUACAUGGGCUGAGGACACGGGCGUGUCCCAAGCCACACGGGUGUGUUACUUUCAAAACAUGGAAAUUUUCUUAAGUGUUGUAAAAUUUUUAGAAAUUCUAGGUUUAGUCUCGAAUCAUCUCUGGUGUAUGUUUUGGGCCUCGUAAGCCCGUAUAAAUAAUAAUUUACAUGUGUUUGAUUCAUUUUAAAUUGAAUGAAAUUAUAUGGGUCGAUUUUAUGAAAUUGUGUAUGUUUAAGUCCGGUAAUGCCUCGUAUCCUAUCCCAGCCUGGGGUACGGGUAAGGGGCGUUUCAUUUAGUGGUAUCAGAGCUAUGAUUUAGUCGAUUCUCUGACUAACCUAGCGUAUGUGUGAGUCUAGCUAUACAUGUCAUAUUACUACUCGUGAUAGUAUGAUAUCUCUCGACUCUAACGAAAUUGUUUUGUUAAGACAGAGGUGACUUCCAACCGAGCUAUUUUCGAUAAUACUGAAAAUGAUAUUGAGAUAAUUGAAAUGUAUUUAUGAUGUGUUAAAAUAUGGAAAGGUAUGAAUAGAAGUUCAUGAUAUGUAUGUGAUAAAGUAUGAAAUGGGAUAACCCUAAGUUGAGAAAUGUGGAAAUGUGAAAUGAAAUGAAAGCUCAUAUGAUGAAAUGUCCAUCCAUGUUUGUUUAGCAUUCAUAUGAUGCUGUGUGCUCAGAAAGCUGGAUUAAGUGAAAAUGAUAAAUAGAGUUACUCAAAAUUGAUGAAAUGUGUGUUUAUGUGCAAUUGUUUAAAUAAAUGCAACCGAUAAGUUCGUGUAACAUAAAUACGUAUGUUAAUUUUCUUGAGGUGAAUUAUAUGAUUGGGAUGAUGUUAUGUUAAUGAUGAAGCAAAGUCAUAUGUGUGUGGUGGUAAUGAAACUAACUAAAAAAUUUGACUAAGGCAAGUGCACCUAUCGAACAGUAGUAUAGUUAUGGUGACACCGGAAAUAUCGUAUCCACGAGGACUAAAAGUACUAGUAAUUACUAUUUUUUUAUUAUCUAGCCUAACAAUUAAGUGAAUUUUUAAUCUAAAACUAAUUAUCUAAUUAACUAAGAUUGCGACUGAGAUUUGAGUUGAAAAUACUUUUGGAAAACUGAUGGAGAAGACAAUACCCAAUGAAGAAUUCACCUAGACUUCACUUAUUACCUCUGAAUUAGACGAUUUAUUCACUUGACUUAAUUCGUAGGAAUCCCUGAUUUAUGUUAAUAUUUCUCUCGAGACUAAAAACAACUGACUCUAAGUUGAUUAAUCGAAAUCUCGUUCUAAUUAAAGCCCCUAUUGCCGCAUUAACUCGAUCUAUGGACUCCCUUAUUAGAUUUGACUUUAAUCCGGCAGAUUUAUGUCAUCCUAUCUCUAGGAUUGCAUGCAACUCUACUUAAUUAUGAACAAUCUACUCUUAAAUAAGGACUUUUGCUCCACUGAAUAAGCACAUCAAAAACCUGAAUUAAUAUCCUGGAAUAUUAAAACAAGGGUUAAACUCACAAUUAAUAAUAAGAACAAGUAUUUAUCAUAUAACUUAAUUAGUAAUAAGAUUCGUCUUAGGUUUCAUAUCCUUUAGGUAUUUAAGGAGUUUAGUUCAUAAUAAUGGAAAACAUCUCAAAAAUUGGAAAACUACAAAACAUAAAGAAACCCAAAGAACUUCUAGGAAAUUUGAUGGAAAUCUUCAGUCUUGAUGUAGAUCCUCCUUCUGAGCUGAUCCCGAUGGCUGUUCUUGAGUAUUUUCUUCAUUCUAUUCUCCAUGUCCCUUCACUCCUCUUCUAGGAUGUUUAUAUAGACUUUAGAAUGCCUCAAAACCCUCAAAAUUAGCUUUUUCUGAGUAGAAUUAGACUUGGGCUCAACAGGGACACGAAUGUGUGCCACGCUCGUGUGAAGGUGCUCAGGCCAUGUGUAAUUCUGACUUGGUUUAGUAUCAACACGACCGUGACACACGGGCGUGUGGAUCACCCGUGUGGGAGUGCCUAGGCCGUGUGCCACACUAAAUUAGGCCUAUUUUGUCCUUUUUUAGCCAGUUUCUUGCUCUUUUUUCUAUCCUAAGCUCUAUUGAGUAUAAAACAUGAAAUUAAAAGAUUAGAAGCAUCAAAUUCAAUGAAACCAAGGAAAAAUCAUCCAUAAAUAUGCCAAUCAUAGGGUAAAAAAUAUGUAUAUAUUAUGGUUUAUCAAAUAUCCCUACACUUAAGCAUUUGCUUGUCCUCAAGCAAAAUCCUCAACUCACAAAUAAAAUAAAUCCUUCUCAACUUAUAAUUCUCAUCAAUAAUGUUUCAAAGUAAUCUCUCGCAAUCAUACAUUGAGAGCUUAACUAAAAGAAUAUUAAAGUUUCCAACAAUCCAAAUUGAGCAUUUCAAUCAUAAAAUCGUAGGUAUCCCCCUUUAUCUAAGUAAUUACCUUUAAUUACAAAUCGACAAGGGUUGACAUUCCUUACUAAAGAUUCACUCAAAUCACUCAAAGUGUUUAAUGUUCAAUAAUUAAGCACUCAAUAGUCAAACAUGAAAAGUUAUUAACAUAGGCUUGCAUGAAAAUCAAAUCUCUACCACUAUAAUGAGAUGAUACACAAAUCAAAAGGUCUUUAACAGGGUUGUAAUGGGGUUUGGGUUAAAGGUGUGGAUAAAGGCUGAAAAAGAGGGUUAGAAUCGAGAUUAAUUUAAAUAAAUUACCAAACUUAGACAAAUGAAGCUAAUUGCUGAAUUACAAAAAAGUGCCAAAAUUCAAACUAUCCGAAACUAAUGAUGUGAGCUUUUUCUCAAUAAAACAACUUUAACUUAUCCAAGCUCUUUAGAACAACAUGUAACUGAAUGAAUAAAUAUACGAUUUUUUUUAAGAAUAAGAACAAGUACAAUAAUUGAAAUUACAUAAUAAGAAAUAAUUCAACAACUGGAAUUGACGAACAUAAUUAGGUAACUAAUCAAAUCAAAUCUCGAUGAAAAAAAAGAGUCAAUGAAAAGGGGGAAAUUCUUCAUGAAUCAAAAAAGGUAAGUUAUGGGUUAUUAUUAAGGAGAAAAGUCAAGAAAUAAAAGUCAAGUCUCAAAGGGGUUCACUAGGGGUCAAUUAUGUGAGUGGGCUUUUUAUGGGGUAAAUGGGUUACAACCUAAGUGCCUUUAUCAUUUUAGUAUAUUAAAUCAAAGGUAUGGUCUCGACAUGUAUAAUCGAUGCAAGUUCUAGAAUAGCAAAUCAAUGUUGACACACUCAUAACCAAUAAAAUAAGUGAGCAAGAAGGAUAUAUGCUCUUAAAGGCUCAAAAUCUUACGAAAAUUAUGGGUAUUUGAUGUCAACCCUGUAAAUUCAAAACUUCAAGAUAAUACCUCAAUUCAGGGAAAUAACCUAGCAAUUUUAAUUCUCAAGAGUCAACUUAUCAUGAUUGAUCCUCUAAUGUCUUAAAGUUUAAACAAUCAAUGCACAAUUACCUAUGAUUUAAUUCAAAACAUAUCAAUAAAAAUCAUUAAUUAAUCAGAAUUCACUCUAAUAAUGAUAUGAGAAAAUUAUUUGAGAAUAAGAUAAAAAAUUCAGGGAUUUUAUGAUAAUCAUAUAAAUAACCCCGCACACUUAAGAUGUACAUUGUUCUCAAUGUACAAAAAUAGAUAAUAGCAAUAUAAGCAUAAUAUCAGAAGAGAGGGAGAGAAACAAAACUGCCCUGAAUUUUUGGAUGAAAUUCUUGGAAUAGCGAAAGCGAGAGUUGUAGAGAAGGCUAAUAAAAGGCAUGAGUCUGAGUUAAUAAACACAACUGUGGAAGAGAAUCAAGGGGUUACUCGAGAAGAACCAUAAAGUUAAAUAUAGUUCAAAAGAUAAAACCUAAGUAUUCAAUAAUAAUAAAAUAAAUGGACUCAAAGGUCCUCAUUAUCGGAUGCCUCGUGGGUCGACGGUGCUGAAGGAGAGAUGUGAAGGUAGUGGCAAGUCUAUCGAAGAGUGGCAACGAUGCUAUCUAAUCUCUCAAAACACUACUGCUCAAAACGAGUGAGUCGCUCGGAUAUAUCUGUCAAAGUGGUAGCAGUAGGGCGGUGACCCUAUGAUGUUGGUGGAUUUGGAUCCUCAUGAAAGGGAGGGACAUCAUCAGUAAUGUCCUCUGGCUCAUCCUGGCCAUCAGAGUGAACGAGUCUGUACUGAGGGGGUCAAAUCCACGGUGUCACUCUAUCAGUCUGUACUGAGGGGGUCAAAUCCACAGUGUCACUCUAUCAUCCUCAUGUGGAUCAUACUAAAAAUUCCCUGAUGAGACAUCUGGCCUACUAAUGUGAGUGUCGAUGACAUCUCUGGAGUGUCGAAGAGCCUGAAGUGUCGAGCGAGGCGAGUCACGUAGGGGCCAAGGCAAAUAGGGCCCCUCCUAUGGCGGUCUGUCUAGUGGUGAAAAGUGAGGGCGAUAAAAUAUGCCAAAUCAAAUACAUGACCAGUCGCUAUACUCCAUAAGAAGUAAGCAUCGAUGGUGCUAACGACGCCAGUGCUCUCUCUCCUCCCAAUCAAGGUAUGAGCCAAAAUAGUAUGGAUGUAAGGUAGUGCUGAAGGAAGAGAAGUCGCCUUUGAGCGACUUGCAUCAUAGGGAACAGCACUCACCGUAAGGUCGGUCCAACAGUAGGAGGGCGAGUAGUGUAUGUGACGGUGAAUAUGUAUCGGAAGCUAUAAACUCCUCUAUGUAAAGGCCUAAAGUAGCUCCAAACUCUGGUACACUCAUGUGUCAUACGAGUCCACCCAGUCUAAAAAUAAUAGUACCGGCCUUGUCAUGGGUAUUCAUCACAUGCUGUAGAUGAAAAGUACUGCAAAAAUCCAAGGUAAGCUCCGAAUAGGUGGGCUCGAUAAUCGAAAAGAACCGAUCCCAUGAGGCGGUGGCGAUAUGGAAUCGAACAAUAUGGGUAAGUUGGACCUGUUCCAAGGCGGCCCAAUCAAUACAUCAACCUACUCCUAAUGGUCAUACUCGAAGAAGCUAAAACAAGUUGUCCUGUAGACCUGACGAGAAUUGAAGUAAAUGUGACGAACUUCGGUUGCGGCGCUCGAGGAGGUUGCGCUAGGACCCUUCCAUUUUUUGAAGCGGGGAUGGCAAUUUUCUUGCCUCGUGUGCUUGUCAUAGUGUACCUGCAAGAAUAGAUGAAUAAAUUCAAUUUGAAGCAUGAACAUAAUAGGUAAGUAAAUAAAUAUUCAUCCAAGUUUAACCCCUCAAUUUAACGAAAAUAAAAAAUAGAAAAAUGUUAAUGUACAAUAAAACUAACUAAAUGAGUAUUAUAUAAGCAAGCAAGAUACGAAUGAAAUCAGCGAAGCAAUGACCCUCAAAUAUAUAUAAAAUAUUGUGAUUGUCCAAAACUAAUCUAAAAAAAAUUAACUGAUGUAAGUGAAUAAAAAUUAAUGAAUUAAGAACGCAAUAAGGAUAAUAAUAUAUCAAUAAUAAAAUAAUCAGAAAUAACGCAAAAUAAAAUAGUAAUAAAGAACUAAGAAUAAUAAUACUAAUAAAAAUAAAAAUAAUUUAAUUAAAAUGAUGUAAAAGAAUUAGAGGGGCAAAAGGGAGUAAUCAACAGUAGGUUGAGGUAGUCGGAGGGGCACGGUCGAAGCUGGCGGGGGUUUGGGUUGACGGUGGUGAACGGAGAGGGCACGAGAGUGGGGGGUAGGUCGUGCGGUUAAGAGGGAAAUGAGGAAGAAAGGGGAGAGGGGAGAAAGUCAAAGAAAGAGGAAAGAAAGAAAGAAAAGAGAAGGAAAGAAAGAGAAGGGAAAGAAGAAGAAAAGGAGAGCAAGGAGAGGGGCUAGGUGGUGGCUAGAGUAGGGGGAAAAGGGGCUGUGGCGGCUAGGGUUUGGGAGGGAAAGAUUGAAGAAGAAGACAAAAAUAAAGUUAGGGUUGGAGGUUUUAAAGGGGACACGGUCGUGUGCGGCCCGUGUUAGGCCACACGGCCAUGUCACACGCCCUUGUGACUCGAGUUUAGCCCGUGUUUGUCACGAAAAUUGAAUGCCCAAUCGUCACACGGCUGUAUCGCACAACCGUGUGCUUCGUUGUUCACUUCUACCAUGCCCAUGUGGUAUGCUACACGCCCGUGUGUAUAACACAUGACCGUGUGCCUUGCCUGUGUAACUCUCUGACUUGUUUGAAAAUUAAAAAUUUAGCUCUAGUUUUCACACGGUCUAGGACACGCCCGUGUAUCCAGGCUGUGUGGUUCGAUACUAGGGGAUUAUUUAGCUCUGUUUCCACAUGGCCAAGGACAUGCUUGUGUGUCCAGGCUGUGUGGGUUACCGUUCCUACAUAAAAACAUGAGAAAUAGCUAAAAUAAACUAGUUAGUGGUGUUAGUGCUCGGGUUUUCUCCCGAGAAGUGCUUAUUUAGAGUCUAAGCUCGACUUACCUCUCAUUCGCAUGGUCACGGUGGAUCAUAGAGUCGAGACUCCUCUCUCUCACUAUCCAUUCUAUUAUCCACAUAAAGUCGAAGUCGAGUAAUAUUUACCUUAAACAUGUCGAAUUGAGAAUGAUUUACCUCGACUGUACCGUAUGGGAAAAUAUUCAGUACCGUAAAAGGAAUCGCUCCGUUUGUAUUAAGCUUUGAAGUAGCAAUUUGCGGGUCCUUUUCAUCGAGCAAUACUUUAUCCCCGACCUUAAAUUGCUUUGUUUCAUCCCUACGCUCAUGGUUUCUCCUUGACAUGUGUUCUCCAUUUGUCUAAUUCAUCGAUCUGAAGCCUUGUUUCUUCGUGAAUCGCUCUGUUUUUGUGACACGGAUUAGAAUGAGGCUCCAUCACGUUCUUCUUAGGGGACUCCUACAAAGAAGUUUAAGUUGUAACAUUAAUCGCUCUGUUUUUGUGACAUGGAUUAGAAUGAGGCUCCAUCUCGUUCUUCCUAGGGGACUCCUACAAAGAAGUUUGAGUUGUAACAUUACUUAAAUUAACAGAACUUAAACAAUCAUCUCAAUUACUAGAUAUUUUACCAGAAUCACGAGCUUGAAUUUUAAUCAUGUCAUCUCCUACACGAAGUAUCAAUUCACCUGUGCCAAUGUCAAUGAUAGUUCUAGUAGUUGCUAAAAAGGGCCUUCCUAAAAUUAGAGGUACAUCACUAUACUCAUCCAUGUCUAGGAAUUGCGUGAAUGACGAGACCGGCCUAACCUAAAGUAAAGGCUCUUCCCUCUCUGGAUGGCGAAUCUUGAUUGACUGACACUAGGAACCGAUUCGGAGAAACAAGAAGCAUGACAUGAGAUACGCGGCGAAUAAAUUUCCGAUAGUGAAUUACUUGACUCGAUGGAUGGAGGGGGGCCUCCAACUCAAGCAGGAAAUCAAUGUUA
rnacentral:lncRNA from 1 species